rnacentral:rRNA from 1 species
AACGAACGCUGGCGGCAGGCCUAACACAUGCAAGUCGAGCGAGGACUUCGGUUCUAGCGGCGGACGGGUGAGUAACGCGUGGGAAUGUGCCCUUCUCUACGGAAUAGCCCUGGGAAACUGGGAGUAAUACCGUAUACGCCCCAUUGUGGAAAGAUUUAUCGGAGAAGGAUCAGCCCGCGUUGGAUUAGGUAGUUGGUGGGGUAAUGGCCUACCACGCCGACGAUCCAUAGCUGGUUUGAGAGGAUGAUCAGCCACACUGGGACUGAGGCACGGCCCAGACUCGUACGGGAGGCAGCAGUGGGGAACCUUAGACAAUGGGGGCAACCCUGAGCUAGCCGUGCCGCGUGAGUGAUGAAGGCCUUAGGGUUGUAAAGCCCUUUCAGCUGGGAAGAUAAUGACGGUACCGGCAGAAGAAGCACCGGCUAACUCCGUG